rnacentral:rRNA from 1 species
UGCCUUAGUAGCGGCGAGUGAAGCGGCAAAAGCUCAAAUUUGAAAUCUGGCUCUUUCAGAGUCCGAGUUGUAAUUUGAAGAAGGUAUCUUUGGGUCUGGCUCUUGUCUAUGUUUCUUGGAACAGAACGUCACAGAGGGUGAGAAUCCCGUGCGAUGAGAUGAUCCAGGCCUAUGUAAAGUUCCUUCGAAGAGUCGAGUUGUUUGGGAAUGCAGCUCUAAGUGGGUGGUAAAUUCCAUCUAAAGCUAAAUAUUGGCGAGAGACCGAUAGCGAACAAGUACAGUGAUGGAAAGAUGAAAAGAACUUUGAAAAGAGAGUGAAAAAGUACGUGAAAUUGUUGAAAGGGAAGGGCUUGAGAUCAGACUU